UACAGAGGGUGCGAGCGUUGUCCGGAAUCACUGGGCGUAAAGGGCGCGUAGGUGGUUUGGUAAGUGUGCGGUGAAAGCCCGGGGCUCAACCCCGUGUCUGCCGCGCAAACUGCUGAACUUGAGCAUACUAGAGGCAGGUUGAAUUCCGGGUGUAGCGGUGGAAUGCGUAGAGAUCCGGAAGAACACCGGUGGCGAAGGCGGCCUGCUGGGGUAGAGCUGACACUGAGGCGCGACAGCGUGGGGAGCAAACAGG
rnacentral:rRNA from 1 species